rnacentral:rRNA from 1 species
GACGAACGCUGGCGGCGUGCUUAACACAUGCAAGUCGAACGGAAAGGCCCUGCUUUUGUGGGGUGCUCGAGUGGCGAACGGGUGAGUAACACGUGAGUAACCUGCCCUUGACUUUGGGAUAACUUCAGGAAACUGGGGCUAAUACCGGAUAGGAGCUCCUGCUGCAUGGUGGGGGUUGGAAAGUUUCGGCGGUUGGGGAUGGACUCGCGGCUUAUCAGCUUGUUGGUGGGGUAGUGGCUUACCAAGGCUUUGACGGGUAGCCGGCCUGAGAGGGUGACCGGCCACAUUGGGACUGAGAUACGGCCAGACUCCUACGGGAGGCAGCAGUGGGGAAUAUUGCACAAUGGGCGGAAGCCUGAUGCAGCAACGCCGCGUGCGGGAUGACGGCCUUCGGGUUGUAAACCGCUUUCGCCUGUGACGAAGCGUGAGUGACGGUAAUGGGUAAAGAAGCACCGGCUAACUACGUGCCAGCAGCCGCGGUGAUACGUAGGGUGCGAGCGUUGUCCGGAUUUAUUGGGCGUAAAGGGCUCGUAGGUGGUUGAUCGCGUCGGAAGUGUAAUCUUGGGGCUUAACCCUGAGCGUGCUUUCGAUACGGGUUGACUUGAGGAAGGUAGGGGAGAAUGGAAUUCCUGGUGGAGCGGUGGAAUGCGCAGAUAUCAGGAGGAACACCAGUGGCGAAGGCGGUUCUCUGGGCCUUUCCUGACGCUGAGGAGCGAAAGCGUGGGGAGCGAACAGGCUUAGAUACCCUGGUAGUCCACGCUGUAAACGGUGGGUACUAGGUGUGGGGUCCAUUCCACGGGUUCCGUGCCGUAGCUAACGCUUUAAGUACCCCGCCUGGGGAGUACGGCCGCAAGGCUAAAACUCAAAGGAAUUGACGGGGCCCCGCACAAGCGGCGGAGCAUGCGGAUUAAUUCGAUGCAACGCGUAGAACCUUACCUGGGUUUGACAUGGAUCGGGAGUGCUCAGAGAUGGGUGUGCCUCUUUUGGGGUCGGUUCACAGGUGGUGCAUGGCUGUCGUCAGCUCGUGUCGUGAGAUGUUGGGUUAAGUCCCGCAACGAGCGCAACCCUUGUUCACUGUUGCCAGCACGUUAUGGUGGGGACUCAGUGGAGACCGCCGGGGUCAACUCGGAGGAAGGUGGGGAUGACGCCAAGUCAUCAUGCCCCUUAUGUCCAGGGCUUCACGCAUGCUACAAUGGCUGGUACAGAGAGUGGCGAGCCUGUGAGGGUGAGCGAAUCUCGGAAAGCCGGUCUCAGUUCGGAUUGGGGUCUGCAACUCGACCUCAUGAAGUCGGAGUCGCUAGUAAUCGCAGAUCAGCAACGCUGCGGUGAAUACGUUCCCGGG